GAUGAACGCUAGCUACAGGCUUAACACAUGCAAGUCGAGGGGAAACGACAUCGAAAGCUUGCUUUUGAUGGGCGUCGACCGGCGCACGGGUGAGUAACGCGUAUCCAACCUGCCCAUCACUUGGGAAUAACCUUGCGAAAGUAAGACUAAUACCCAAUGAUAUCCCACGAAGGCAUCGGAAUGGGAUUAAAGAUUUAUCGGUGAUGGAUGGGGAUGCGUCUGAUUAGCUUGUUGGCGGGGUAACGGCCCACCAAGGCAACGUUCAGUAGGGGUUCUGAGAGGAAGGUCCCCCACAUUGGAACUGAGACACGGUCCAAACUCCUACGGGAGGCAGCAGUGAGGAAUAUUGGUCAAUGGGCGAGAGCCUGAACCAGCCAAGUAGCGUGCAGGAAGACGGCCCUAUGGGUUGUAAACUGCUUUUAUAAGGGAAUAAAGUGGGUCACGUGUGACUUUUUGCAUGUACCUUAUGAAUAAGGACCGGCUAAUUCCGUG
rnacentral:rRNA from 1 species